AUUAAAAGUAACCAACUAAACAUAACAAAUAAAAUAAAAUAAGAGAAAAAAAGAUGCAAGUGUCCAAUAGGGGUGUGGUAUUAACCAUAACGCUAAUCUUGUUUCUAAUGGCAUCGUCAGUGGCUGCUAUUCGUGAAGAACCAUCUUCGAUUGGAGUCGAGAGAAAGGUUCCAGGAAGUUCUGAUCCUAUACAUAAUCAUGAAGAACCAUCUUCGAUUGGAGUCGAGAGAAAGGUUCCAGGAGGUCCUGAUCCUAUACAUAAUCAUGAAGAACCAUCUUCGAUUGGAGUUGAGAGAAAGGUUUCAGGAGGUCCUGAUCCUAUACAUAAU